GUCACUGAAGACGCAGCAGGUCUUCGCCCCGUUCCCCUCUCUCCCCUUCCAUCAGUUAUUUUGGAGUCAAAUAGGAGACGCCACAAGAAGUCACAUGAUAUACAUGUGACUGUGUGUACACUGUCUGGAGGAGCAAGCUGUCGUGAGGAGAGGAGGACCAGCCAGCUAGUGUGACAGCCUGCAGCACUAGCCACCAGCUACAGAAGAGCUGAUACUCAGAGGAGAGAUCUAUCUUAUCUGGAUGAUGGGAGGAGCGGUUUAUGACCCACCAGAGUGUAAAGAAACCCUUCAAGGCUUUAUCAUACCUGUUUCUUGGUGAGCCCAGCUAUCUAUCGCCCCCCUGGGCAUCCCAAACAAUAUCUAGAUGAUUUUUCUGCCUGGCUCCCUCACUUCUUAUCCUCUGAUGUCUCCAUCAUUAUCAUGGGAUAUUUCAAUAUUGCUACUGAAAGUCCAAAAUCUGCUGCUCAUGCCUCCAAUCUACUCUCUCUGACCUCCUCUCUCGGCCUCUCACAAUGGACUGACUCCUCUACUCAUCAGGAGGGCCACUGCCUUGAUCUAGUAUUUACCAGACUAUGCUCCGUUUCUGAACUCACUAACACUCCUUUCCCUCUCUCAGGUCACAACUGUCACGAUCCGGGUAUCUGGACGCCAUUUCUUACCCAUCAGAUGCCUCCUAAGGCUGGCUCAGCGCUCCAGGACCGGAUCCCAUCUGUUAUCCUGAUGUGUACAUUCCUGUAUCCUCUCCUGUCACUCUGGGACGCUGUCACAGUAAACGCCAUAUUACACCUGGCAUGGCGUCUCCCGCGGCCUCCGCCGCCGUCCCUGCUCUUCUGCAUGCAGAGUGUCUGAGUGGCGAUUACGUCAGCCGCGGCCUCCGCUGUGUCCGCGUGGUUGGAUGUGCAUCUGUCAGCCUGGCGCCUCCUGUC